rnacentral:misc_RNA from 1 species
UCUCCGUUGGUGAACCAGCGGAGGGAUCAUUACAGAGUUGCAAAACUCCCUAAACCAUUGUGAACCUACCUUCUACCGUUGCUUCGGCGGGCGGGCCUAGCGCCCCCCCGGCCCCCCGCGGGCGCCCGCCGGAGGAUAACCAAACUCUUGACAUCAGUGGCCUCUCUGAGUAUUCUUUACUGAAUAAGUCAAAACUUUCAACAACGGAUCUCUUGGUUCUG